rnacentral:misc_RNA from 1 species
GAUGAAGAACGCAGCGAAAUGCGAUACGUAGUGUGAAUUGCAGAAUUCAGUGAAUCACCGAAUCUUUGAACGCACAUUGCACCUCUCGGUAUUCCGGGAGGUAUGCCUGUUCGAGCGUCAUUUGUACCCUCAAGCUCUGCUUGGUGUUGGGUGUUUGUUCCGCCUCUGUGUGUGAACUCGCCUCAAAACAAUUGGCAGCCGGCGUACUUGUUUCGGAGCGCAGCACAUUUUGCGAUCCAGAUCAACGUACAGCGGCAUCCAAGAAGCCUUAUUUAACGCUCUUGACCUCGGAUCAGGUAGGGAUACCCGCUGAACUUAAGCAUAUCAAUAAGCGGAGGA